rnacentral:rRNA from 1 species
UACGGAGGAUGCGAGCGUUAUCCGGAUUUAUUGGGUUUAAAGGGUGCGUAGGCGGUAUUUUAAGUUAGUGGUAAAACGUCGGGGCUUCACCUUGAUUGGCCAUUAAAACUGGAGUACUAGAGUACAGACGAGGUAGGCGGAAUAAGUUAAGUAGCGGUGAAAUGCUUAGAUACAACUUAGAACCCCGAUAGCGAAGGCAGCUUACCAGACUGUUACUGACGCUGAAGCACGAGAGCGUGGGUAGCGAACAGG